AUGAGUUUCUCUGACCUGACUUCACCCUCCGACGUUUCUUCCAUGAGCGAAAAACAACUCGAGAGGUUGGUUGAACAACUUCAAGAUGCCAUCAGUAAUGUGAACGAGGAACUGAACAUUACUAAGGAAGAGAGAGAGGCUGUGGAUAAGGACGUGAGAAGAGGCACUGAAGACCUGAACCGGAGGAUGGUGAUGGCGACUCAGACGGGAGGACUGGGCGAGGCCCUGUUGGAGCUGGAUCCACUGAAGCUGAGGAGGGCUGAGCUGGUCCAGAAACUGGAGUGGAUUAACAGGUCACAGGGUAAAGGAUUAAAGAAGAAACUGAAGGAUUUGGAUAAAAUUGAUAAGGUGGCAGAGUCUCUAGCAGAGAAGGAGAAGAGUUUGAACCUCCAGUGUCUGGCGAUAAGGAAGUCUCUAACAGAGAUCCAGUCUCGCUGCCUAGAAGAAAAUCGAUCGCUACAAGUGAGUCAGGCCUCUGGUUUGGUGAAGUUGGAAAAGCUGGAGGACUCUACCAAGGCAGGCCCACGGAGAGGUCUACAACCACAAGGCCAAACGGCAGACAACAAGCCAAUAAGACACAGAAGACAGAAGUGAACAGCUGUUUAGACCGCUGUUAGUAGGUAGAAUUGUUUACAUUAUGAUUGGUGAAAUCUAGACACUUUAAAACCAGAUUUUUGUGGUAGCCAUUAAAGAUUUGUAUUAGUAGUUUUCAUGGGUUGGGAAUAUAAAUUGAGAAGCCGUUUUAACAUUAUCUCUGAGCAACUGUUGAAACAUUUUUCUGUGACAUAUUUACUAUUCAAUAAAUUUAAAAAUACUAAAGUUUUCUGUUGUGACUCAUUUUCUCGGCUUCCGUAGUGCCAUUUUAUCGUGGUGGUGUACCCCGAGAUACAUAUUAACAUUUAGAUUCAUAAUAACACCCACUGUUUACGUAGCCAAUGGACCACGCGGUGCAUUCUGGGUAAACUCGAAGACAAUCUCCUUCAAGGAGUCGAUGCACAGAGGGACUGGAGCUGAGACACAAAGGUAAGAUGGUAGACAAGAUGGAGUCGCGGAAUGCACAAGCCUUCUGGAAGACCUGGUGAAGGAGAAGAUGGUGAGGAAGGUUGGAGACAGAACCUGCUGAGAGUGAGGAUGAAGUGCCUGCGCUGAGUUCGGGCCUCGCCCCGAGGAUGAUGGGGAUGAUUCUGGCCACAGUGGGAGUGAGAUUUCUGGAGAGAAUGGAUCCUUGCUGUUUGACUGAUCAUUAUAUGGUGUCAGGUUGGGGACUGUUUCUUAGAGUGGACUCCUGAUGAUAUGCCCAAUGACUAAAAUGUUAAAAACAAAUGUGAAAACAGCUAGCUAGCCCUGGCUAGUACAUAACAUGCAAAAAUAUCUGUUGUCCUAGCUAAUGUUACUUCCUCUAUACCGUUUCUUUCGUCAUUGAUAGGCUCUCCAUUAACUUAGUUAUUCCCUGACGCUGUCCAUUUUAUUGUACGCA
rnacentral:lncRNA from 8 species